rnacentral:lncRNA from 1 species
GGCCUUGCCCACUGCAUCAGACCGAAGUCCGAGCUAACUGGGGCCUUGCCCCCUGCAUCGGACCGAAGUCCGGACUAACUCGGACCUUGUCCCCUACAUCGGACGGAAGUCCGGGCUAACUGCGGCCUUGCCCCCUGCAUCGGACCGAAGUCCGGACUAACUGGGGCCUUGCCCCCUGCGUCGGACCGAAGUCCGGACUAACUGGGACCUUGUCCCUUGCAUCGGACUGAAGUCCGGGCUAACUGGGGCCUUGCCCCGUGCAUCGGACCGAAGUCCGGACUAACUGGGACCUUGUCCCCUGCAUCGGACCGAAGUCCGAGCUAACUGAACAGAACAUAGCAUAAACAUAUCAACUAGCAUGAACACACAUAUACUGCAUACUACAUCGGGCCGUGGCCCGAAACACAUAACACAUAAUUCCUGUCUGAGCCACGAAGGCAUCAAACAUACUAAAUACUGCAUCAGAUCAAAAUCCGGAAACUGCUACUAGGUAAACGGGUCGGCAUUGUGGCCUUAGACCCGUUCCUACUGGAAGGAAACUCACCUGAGACUGUUGAACUGAUGUUGCUAAUCCUUUUGACUGCUACCUGAUCUCUGACUCCGAAUUGCUGCUCCACUAGCUCCUCGAGCUACCAAUGUCAAUAUAACACUUAGUCCAACUGACCUCCAAAGGUCAACUAGGUCAACUCUAGUCAAGGUCAAAAUCCUGGUCAAAGUCAACCUUCCAGGUCAACCCUACUCGCCGAGUCCACCUAAUAACUCGCCGAGUUCAUAUGCUCAGGAUCUUUCUAUUCGCGACUCGACUCGCCGAGUCAGUCCAUGACUCGCCGAGUCAACUAUUCCCGAGUCCUGACCUGUCCAACUCGCU